CAGUAGCCACGGGAAAACGGAGGGAGCUAGCGUUGUUCGGAAUUACUGGGCGUAAAGCGCACGUAGGCAGCUUCGUAAGUCAGAGGUGAAAGCCUGGAGCUCAACUCCAGAACUGCCUUUGAGACUGCAUCGCUUGAAUCCAGGAGAGGUGAGUGGAAUUCCGAGUGUAGAGGUGAAAUUCGUAGAUAUUCGGAAGAACACCAGUGGCGAAGGCGGCUCACUGGACUGGUAUUGACGCUGAGGUGCGAAAGCGUGGGGAGCAAACAGGAUUAGAUACCCGCGUAGUCCCUGUCUCUUAUAC
rnacentral:rRNA from 1 species